CUGGUGGCGAGUGGCGAACGGGUGAGUAAUACAUCGGAACGUGUCCUGUAGUGGGGGAUAGCCCGGCGAAAGCCGGAUUAAUACCGCAUACGCUCUGCGGAGGAAAGCGGGGGAUCCUUCGGGACCUCGCGCUACAGGGGCGGCCGAUGGCAGAUUAGCUAGUUGGUGGGGUAAAGGCCUACCAAGGCGACGAUCUGUAGCUGGUCUGAGAGGACGACCAGCCACACUGGGACUGAGACACGGCCCAGACUCCUACGGGAGGCAGCAGUGGGGAAUUUUGGACAAUGGGCGCAAGCCUGAUCCAGCAAUGCCGCGUGUGUGAAGAAGGCCUUCGGGUUGUAAAGCACUUUUGUCCGGAAAGAAAACCUYGUGGUUAAUACCCGUGGGGGAUGACGGUACCGGAAGAAUAAGCACCGGCUAACUACGUGCCAGCAGCCGCGGUAAUACGUAGGGUGCAAGCGUUAAUCGGAAUUACUGGGCGUAAAGCGUGCGCAGGCGGUUCGCUAAGACAGAUGU
rnacentral:rRNA from 1 species